AGUGGUGAAAUAUUCGGGCUCAACCNGGGAUACUGCCAUUGAUACUGUAUAGCUGGAAUAUGGUUGCUGUGGGUGGAAUGUGUGGUGUAGCGGUGAAAUGCAUAGAUAUCACACAGAAUAUCGAUUGCGAAGGCAACUCACAAAGCCAUUAUUGACGCUGAUGCACGAAAGUGUGGGGAUCAAACAGGAUUAGAUACCCUGGUAGUCCACACUGUAAACGAUGAUAACUAGCUGUCGGCGAUAGAUAGUCGGUGGCUAAGCGAAAGCGAUAAGUUAUCCACCUGGGGAGUACGACCGCAAGGUUGAAACUCAAAGGAAUUGACGGGGGCCCGCACAAGCGGAGGAACAUGUGGUUUAAUUCGAUGAUACGCGAGGAACCUUACCCGGGCUCGAACGGUGCAGGAAUAUGGUAGAGAUAUCAUAGCUAGCAAUAGUCUGUAUCGAGGUGCUGCAUGGUUGUCGUCAGCUCGUGCCGUGAGGUGUCGGCUUAAGUGCCAUAACGAGCGCAACCCUUGUCGUUAGUUACCAUCAAGUAAAGUUGGGGACUCUAGCGAGACUGCCACCGUAAGGUGUGAGGAAGGGGGGGAUGACGUCAAAUCAGCACGGCCCUUACGUCCGGGGCGACACACGUGUUACAAUGGUAGGUACAGAGGGGCGCUAUCCAGUGAUGGAGUGCGAAUCUCAAAAACCUAUCUCAGUUCGGAUUGGAGUCUGCAACUCGACUCCAUGAAGUUGGAUUCGCUAGUAAUCGCGCAUCAGCCAUGGCGCGGUGAAUACGUUCCCGGGCCUUGUACACACCGCCCGUCAAGCCAUGGAAGCCGGGGGUGCCUGAAGUUCGUGACCGCAAGGAGCGACCUAGGGCAAAACUGGUAACUGGGGCUAAGUCGUAACAAGGUAACC
rnacentral:rRNA from 1 species